rnacentral:rRNA from 1 species
CAAAAACAUAGCCUGUUGACCCAUCAAUAACAGGUCCAUCCUGCCCAGUGACAAACUUAAACGGCCGCAGUACCCUGACUGUGCAAAGGUAGCAUAAUCAUUUGCCUCCUAACUAGAGGCUAGUAUGAACGGACAAACGAGAGCAAAGCUGUCUCCCCUAUAUUCAUAAAAAUUUACCUUUAGGUGAAGAGGCCUAAAUAAAUAUAAAAGACAAGAAGACCCUGUCGAGCUUUAAUCAAAGCAAACCUACAGUUUACAAAAUACUAACACUUGUUCAUGAUUUUUGUUGGGGCGACAAAGGAAUAAAUAAAUCUUCCUGCACAACAAAGAAACUUAUUCUCCCAAAUGAGCCAUUAUAUGAUCAACAAAACUAGCUACCGCAGGGAUAACAGACUAAUCUUCCUCAAGAGCCCAAAUCUACAGGAAGGCUUGGCACCUCGAUGUUGGCUUAAGAAUUCUUUUAGAUGCAGAAGUCUAAAAAAGAAGGUUUGUUCAACCUUUAAUAUCUUACGUGAUCUG